rnacentral:lncRNA from 1 species
AGAGAGCAGAGAAAAAAAAAGACAAGCUUCUGUUGGAUUGGAUGGAUUAGCGGUGGAGGAUAAAGAUAGGGAAGUCCUGGCUAAGGAAGUGCUACUUGAGAAAACAUCCUUAAAGGGAAGGAGUGUGCUCUGCCACUUCUCUUCCUGCCAGCUGGACUGUGGACCUCAUGGCUGGAACCUAAGCAGCCACCUUGCACUGAAGAUAAAAGCCAGGUAUUGAAGACGGCAAAGCAAAAAUCCAAGAGGAGUCUGGAUCUCUGAUGAUCAUGGAGUCAUCAUAGUACUCGUGGAGAAUACAAAUCAGAUAAAUAAAAAAAAAUGAAUCUUGUUUAAAUCACUGUUGUUUUGGUUUUCCAUCACUUGCAGCCAAACCUGAUCUUUAGAAUUUAAUAUUGUUCUAGCACUUUAUUGUCAAAUGCCAUG